rnacentral:rRNA from 1 species
AUGGCUGCGCAGGGGAGCAACGGGAAGGAGAAGCUGCAGUGCAUCGACUCAUCGUCUGACGAUUCAGCACGGCUCUACAAGAGGCCCCGGCGGGCGGCUCCAGAGACCACCCCGGAGCAGCAGAGUGCACAUGGUUUCUUCAAAAUUAGGGAUCGCAAAGGAUGGGAGCAUGGUACCGUGAUUUAUGAAAACAGACAUUGGAAGUGGAAGUACUGCCCCACGGUUGGGCGUAGCGGUGGUGUCACCAGCCUCAAGCAUCAUAUUGCCGGUGGCAGUAGCAGGGUAAGGCCGUGCCUAUCUGCUCCCAAAGAUGUCUCCAAUGAGAUGAAACGCUUGUUUGUUGGGCAGUAG